CACACACGCUCACCUGGGUGUAAACGCUCAUUUACAUGAACAAAUGCAGGUACGUGACCCAGCUGUCCACACAACCGUCACAACAGUCAUCCUGCCUCCUGGACCCGAAGAGGAGUGAAAGUACAAGAAUGGGGUUUUUAAAGGGAUGAAUGAAUGCAGCGAAUAAGGUGGAACAAUGAGUGAAGGACUCAUAAGUGAUAACCAGUCCAGAGGACUUCAGUCAUCCUCUGGAGCCUCCACUGAGGACCAGUGUGCAGACACUCCAAACCAACCAAAGGUAGCU